rnacentral:rRNA from 1 species
GUGCCAGCAGCCGCGGUAAGACGAACCGAGCGAACGUUGUUCGGAAUAACUGGGCUUAAAGGGCGCGUAGGCGGGCCGCCAAGUUCGAGGUGAAAUCCUCCGGCUCAACCGGAGAACUGCCUCGAAUACUGGAGGCCUCGAGGCGGGUAGGGGCACGCGGAACUGUGGGUGGAGCGGUGAAAUGCGUUGAUAUCCACAGGAACUCCGGUGGCGAAGGCGGCGUGCUGGACCCGAUCUGACGCUGAGGCGCGAAAGCCAGGGGAGCAAACGGGAUUAGAUACCCCCGUAGUCC